GAGAGCCUGUGAUGAAGAGAUCCAUCGGUUGCCCCUCUGCUCGUGGCUCCUUCUCAUGCUCCCUGCUCUCACUGCAGGAAACCGACUUGUGUGUGAGACAAGGCAGCAAACCUUUGCUAUGUUCCAACACCUGAAAGGCUUCAGGCCUGAGGAACUGAGGGAGCAUGGGGUGAGCCCCCCUCCCCCUGCUGAGUGCCGAUUUUCACAGCAUAGCUCCAGGCAGCUGACACUCGCAGUUAUUGCAGGAAUGAACGGCAGAGUAUUUAUUCUUUUAGGGUAUUUUCCUGUCUCAUCUUCCUGUGUUCUUCCAUUUACUGAAGCAACUAGGUCAGGGCUUUCUCAUUUUGUCAUC
rnacentral:lncRNA from 1 species